CCUCUGAUCCAUCCAUCUGUGACCGCCGGAUGGAGAUCCAACGGCCACUUGAGCGCCCGAGCUUCCUACAACGCUCGAUUCAGAUCGGAUCGAGGCCUCCACGAGCGCAGCCCCGAGCUCCCAAUCAAGUCCCCUCUGCCGCCUCGUCCACGUCGGAGCACUGCCAGAUCACCGGACCACCGCCUCUGCUGCGUCCCUGCUCCCUACUCUGUCCAUCUCUCUUUUCCUUCUUCUCUCUAUCUCCUAAUAUCUCCAUCUCUCUCUGUAACUCGCAGCAACAUUAGACCACCAUGGCCACCCGAGGCACGGAGCUUCGCCGCAGCAGCGACCUCCAUGGACCCCGACCGCCGACUCGGAGCUCCUCGCCGCCAAGCUUUGACCCGCUCGGAGUCGUUCCCCAGGUCGCUGGACCUCCCUACAAGCUCUGUCGCCGCCGUCAAACCUGCUUCCCCUGCUCCACGCCGGACUCGGCUUCCUCGUCAUCUCCAGCAACGGCCAGAGCGCCAAGACCCUCCGCCUCGUCCCGCUCGCCUUCUUCGAGCACCUGCACUCCAUGCCAAGCUCGUCCUCAAGCCCGACGCAGGGAACAACACGAGCACCUCAGUGAUCGCCGCCACCGGGAUUCGCCAGGUCUGGUGAGGCCCUGCGUUCCCUGCCUCCUCCCCGCCAAGUUCGCUGAUGCCGUCCUGUUUCUUCCCGGCGAGCACUUCGCCUCUGCUUCGAGGACGAUCCAGGCGCGCCCCGCGUUGACUCUCGGUAUCGACCGCGCCAAGUAGUAGCGAGAUUGGGCCCAAGCCGCUUCCCUGCUGCCACAUCUCCACCGAGCUGGGCCAGGCCCAUGUUCCGAUAACGUCGCGUUUGUGAGGAUCCAUUCGACUACGUCUGUU